rnacentral:rRNA from 1 species
UACGGAGGGUGCAAGCGUUAUCCGGAUUCACUGGGUUUAAAGGGUGCGUAGGAGGGCAGGUAGGUCAGUGGUGAAAUCUCCAAGCUUAACUUGGAAACUGCCGUUGAUACUAUCUGUCUUGAAUACCGUGGAGGUGAGUGGAAUAUGUCAUGUAGCGGUGAAAUGCUUAGAUAUGACAUAGAACACCAAUUGCGAAGGCAGCUCGCUACACGAAUAUUGACUCUGAGGCACGAAAGCGUGGGGAGCGAACAGG